rnacentral:rRNA from 1 species
CGUAGGUGGCAAGCGAUACUCGGAAUCACUAGGCGUAAAGUGCAGGUAGGCGGUUUGGUAAGUCUUUUGUGAAAGCUCCCGGCUUAACUGGGAGAGGUCAAGGGAAACUACCGGACUUGAGUGUGGUAGGGGAUACUGGAAUUCCUGGUGUAGCGGUGAAAUGCGUAGAUAUCAGGAGGAAUACCUAUGGCGAAAGCAGGUAUCUGGGCCAUCACUGACGCUGAGCUGCGAAAGCUAGGGGAGCAAACAGGAUUAGAUACCCUGGUAGUCCUAGCCCUAAACGAUGCUCAUUAGAUGUGGGAGGUAUCGACCCCUUCCGCGUCGCAGCUAACGCGAUAAGUAUGCCGCCUGGGAAGUACGGCCGCAAGGCUA